rnacentral:misc_RNA from 1 species
GCUAGUUAUUUGUUGUUUGAUCUGGGUUUGUCAUUUUUGGAUGUUAUUUUGUUGGGGUAAUGAAUAAUUUCUAUUGGUUUAUUAAGUAAUCAUCAGUGUGUAUGAUUUUUGUUAUGUAAUGAUUACAUGAAUAUUGUUGAAUCUUUACCUCUGUGAAGACUUAUAUUGAUAUAGCAGCUUGUUUAUUGUGGCUGUGACCUAUUCUCAGCUAGUUAUUUCAGUAUUUGUUUUCG